rnacentral:misc_RNA from 1 species
GCAAACUUGGUCAUUUAGAGGAAGUAAAAGUCGUAACAAGGUUUCCGUAGGUGAACCUGCGGAAGGAUCAUUAUUGAAUGUUGCCUUGAUAGGUUGUUGCUGGUCCUGUAAAAGGGGCAUGUGCACACCUGUCUUGACUUCAAAUUCAUCCACCUGUGCACCUUUUGUAGUCUUUUUUUGGGGGGAACUGGGGUCACUGAACCUCUCUCCACUUGGAGGACUAUGUUUUUUUCUACAUAUACUAUUAGAAUGUCACAGAAUGUUGUCAAUGGGCACUUGUGGCCUAUAUAAAAUCUAUACAACUUUCAGCAACGGAUCUCUUGGCUCUCGCAUCGAUGAAGAACGCAGC